rnacentral:rRNA from 1 species
AGCGAACGCUGGCGGCAGGCCUAACACAUGCAAGUCGAACGGACCCUUCGGGGUUAGUGGCGGACGGGUGAGUAACACGUGGGAACGUGCCUUUAGGUUCGGAAUAGCUCCUGGAAACGGGUGGUAAUGCCGAAUGUGCCCUUCGGGGGAAAGAUUUAUCGCCUUUAGAGCGGCCCGCGUCUGAUUAGCUAGUUGGUGGGGUAAUGGCCCACCAAGGCUACGAUCAGUAGCUGGUCUGAGAGGAUGACCAGCCACAUUGGGACUGAGACACGGCCCAAACUCCUACGGGAGGCAGCAGUGGGGAAUCUUGUGCAAUGGGCGAAAGCCUGACGCAGCCAUGCCGCGUGUAUGAUGAAGGUCUUAGGAUUGUAAAAUACUUUCACCGGUGAAGAUAAUGACUGUAGCCGGAGAAGAAGCCCCGGCUAACUUCGUGCCAGCCGCCGCGGUAAGAC